CGAGGCGCGCGCGAGAGCGAGACAUCCGGCGCCGACACCGAAUCUCAGGAGGAAGAUGGAGACCAGGGAUCUUUAUCCGUGGGCCACCCUGGACCGGGCCGGAGAGGGAUACGAGGACGAGGUCAAGGACGAGCCCUUGAGCGACGAGCCAUGGCCGAAGCGCACGCUCAAGGAGCGGGUGCUGAUGCACCAGAAGGCGACGCUGGAGUUCUUCGGGAAGGAUAACUGGAUGCUCACGUCCCCGCCCAUGCACGAACGGAGUGCGAAGCUGAAGAUGGCGAUCAAGGUGAGCUCCCGGCCCUUUUCUCAACCGCACAACCCCGCGAUCGGACGCCAGCCGUGCGG
rnacentral:lncRNA from 1 species